rnacentral:rRNA from 1 species
UACGUAGGGGGCAAGCGUUGUCCGGAAUUAUUGGGCGUAAAGAGCGUGUAGGCGGUCCGGUAAGUCAGCUGUGAAAGUCAAGGGCUCAACCCUUGAAUGCCGGUUGAUACUGUCGGGCUAGAGUCCGGAAGAGGCGAGUGGAAUUCCCGGUGUAGCGGUGAAAUGCGCAGAUAUCGGGAGGAACACCAAUGGCGAAGGCAGCUCGCUGGGACGGUACUGACGCUGAGACGGCGAAAGCGUGGGGAGCAAACAGG